GCCACCGUAGCUCAGUUGGUAGAGCAACGGUUUCGUAAACCGUAGGUCAUCAGUUCGACUCUGAUCGGUGGCUCUA
rnacentral:tRNA from 1 species